UGGGGAAUUUUGGACAAUGGGCGAAAGCCUGAUCCAGCAAUGCCGCGUGUGUGAAGAAGGCCUUCGGGUUGUAAAGCACUUUUGUCCGGAAAGAAAUCCUUGGCUCUAAUACAGUCGGGGGAUGACGGUACCGGAAGAAUAAGCACCGGCUAACUACGUGCCAGCAGCCGCGGUAAUACGUAGGGUGCAAGCGUUAAUCGGAAUUACUGGGCGUAAAGCGUGCGCAGGCGGUUUGCUAAGACCGAUGUGAAAUCCCCGGGCUCAACCUGGGAACUGCAUUGGUGACUGGCAGGCUAGAGUAUGGCAGAGGGGGGUAGAAUUCCACGUGUAGCAGUGAAAUGCGUAGAGAUGUGGAGGAAUACCGAUGGCGAAGGCAGCCCCCUGGGCCAAUACUGACGCUCAUGCACGAAAGCGUGGGGAGCAAACAGGAUUAGAUACCCUGGUAGUCCGCGCCCUAAACGAUGUCAACUAGUUGUUGGGGAUUCAUUUCCUAGUAACGUAGCUAACGCGUGAAGUUGACCGCCUGGGGAGUACGGUCGCAAGAUUAAAACUCAAAUGAAUUGACGGGGUCAUAGCUG
rnacentral:rRNA from 1 species